AACGAACGCUGGCGGCAUGCCUAACACAUGCAAGUCGAACGAAACCUUCGGGCCUAGUUGCGCACGGCUGCGUAACGCGUGGGGACCUGCCCUUAAGUUCGCAAUAACUCCCCGAAAGGGGUGCUAAUACCGGAUAAUGUCUUCCGACCAAAGAUUUGUCGCGUGGGGAUGGGCCCGAGUCUGAUUAGCGUGUUGGUGGGGUAGAGGCGUACCAUGGCGUUGAUCGGUAGCUGGUCUGAGAGGGUGACCGGCCACAUUGGGACUGAGAUACGGCCCAGACUCCUACGGGAGGCAGCAGUGGGGAAUAGUGCACAAUGGGCGGAAGCCGGAUGAAGCAACGCUGCGUGCGGGAUGACGGCCUUCGGGUUGUAAACCGCUUUCGCCUGUGACGAAGCGUGAGUGACGGUAAUGGGUAAAGAAGCAACGGCUAACUACGUG
rnacentral:rRNA from 1 species